rnacentral:lncRNA from 1 species
AGCCAGGUGGAGAGCAGCUUCUCUUGCCAGGCAGGGGGCAUAUUUGGCAAGAGUAGCUGAACGGUCGGUCAGGACAUCGUGGUCCUGUGUGGCUCAACCAUGCCAAGGCAGCACUGACAUUUUAGACCUUACAAACCAGGCAGGCAGGGAAGGCACCUCCGGGCUAACCCUGAAGGUGGAGGAGAGCAGCCGGUCUUGUGAUGCCACGGGGAAGUGCAUCCCAGGCAGAGGGGACAGCUGGCACCUUGGCCCAAGAUGGUGGUGGUGGGUGGGGGUCUGAUGUAUCUCAGGAGCAAAUGUGGCCAGAGCCCAAUGGUCAAGGGGGAGGCGGAGGGCUCAAAGGCUGGCCUGGAGGCUGAGGAGUGGAGGUUGGCUUAGGUAGGAGUCAGAGUUGGCCUGGAGGGGCCCGGAGGGGUGGCAUGGGGCAAACUUCGAUGAUGAGGGUGAGAUCAGAUGCUGCUUCUUGGUGCUAGAUUUUUGCACCUCCAUGUGAGUUUAGCAGCCUGUUUGGGGUUGGCCUGGUCUGAGCUUGGAGGCAGGCAGCUCCUCCUCUUCUCCAGGCAGGAGAGACGGCUACUCAAUCUACUCCGGCCCCUGCGCGCGUGCACGCACACACACACACCAACACACCAUCAUCAGUUACGUCCCCUCUGGGUUGUGUGCUCAGUGGCAGCAGGUCCUGUAUGUCCCAGGGUCCUCAUUGCCCAGCCCAGGGCUUGGUGCUGCCUGGGUGAUCAGUGUUGGGUCCAAAGGCUGUUGACAGGGCUGAGAAGCCCCCAGAGGACCCACAUCCCUAGGGGCAGGGAGGGGGCAAGAGAAGCUUCCCUUGAGUUUCCUGGAAGGAUCAGGAGUUGGACUGGCAAAGGAGGCAGGUAGAGGAAGACAGAGAUUAGGCAGAAGCAGGCAGUGGAGUAAGAACAGGGUGUUGGAGGAACUAGGCUGAGGUCUCUGCCAUCAAAGCCAGAGUUUAGAUUUGGUCUCAAUAAACGGGAAGCCCUGGCUGGAUGUGGUGGCUCACACCUGUAAUCCCAGCACUUUGGGAGGCUGAGGAGGGAGGAUCAUUUGAGCCCAGUGCUCAAGACCAGCCUGGGCAACACAGUGCGACUCCGUUUCUAAAAAAAAAUAUAUAAAAAUUAGCUGGGUGCGGGCUUGCACCUGUAGUCCCAGCUACUCUCCAGGAGUCUGAAGCUGCAGUGAGCUGUGACUGCACCACUAAAUUCCUGCCUGGGCAACAGAGCAAAACUCUGGUCUCAAAACAUAAAAAUAAAAUGUAAAAUAAACAGGGAGCCCCGAGGAUUCCGGGCAGGAGGGGGUGUGGUCAGCACUGGAAUUUUAGAAGAAGGGCAGUUGGUAGCUGGGGGAAGGGGGUUCCACACUGGAAGGAGGGGGUCCAGGACUUGGACAUGGUAUAGGAUGUGCCGCCUGCCAGUGGGACCUAGGACAGCAGGACCAUCACUGAGGUGGCCACACGGGGAGGGGCAGGAGGGGACACCCUGCUCUUGGAGAGAAAGGGGGUGCCCAUCCACCCCUGCUGUAUGAAGGGGAAAGGGGGACUCUGAGGCCCAGCGAGAGAGGGGACGGGCCCAAGGGAUUUGUGGACAGUGGGGGUGGGGGAGAGGGGAGCAGAGAGCACAGAUAGGGACCUGGGGCAGAUGUGAGUCUGGGAGGUUCGACCCCUGGCUAGACUGUUUCCCCAAAGGGUCCUCUGCUCCUUGGGCUGUACGCACUGCACUGGGCACUAGAUACAGGCCAGGGCUUAGGGCACGGCGGCGCCUGUGGGAUCGGGGUUGCAGGCGGCGUCCAGACCCAGGGGCCCCUGGUGAGGGGCGGGCCCGGGGAGGGGGCCAUAAGGGGCUGGCUGGGGAGGGAGGGAGGGAGAGGCCAGGGAAGGGACAGGUUCCGAGUGGACGCUGGGUGGAGAGGAGAGGGAGAGUGGGGGCGGUGGGGGGUCGGGUCCGAGGCGGGGCUGGUGGGGAGGGGGGCAUCCGGGGGCGAAUCCGGGUAGGGGGUGAGGAGGCGGGUUCGGAAGGAAUCGGGCAGGGCCCGGGUGGGUCCGGUGAGUAAGUGAGGGGACGAUCCCCGGAAGGGAUCGGGGCGGGUCGGGGUCCGGAGAUGGGCGGAGCAGGCGUCCCGGGAGGGUGCGCCCAGGAGCGGGGCGAGCGGGGCGAGCGGGGCGGUCCCGGAGACGAGGCGGGUCCGGGGAGGGGGCUGGCCCGGGGCUGCCCCAGCUUGGCCGGGCGCGGAGCGGGGCGCAUGGCGCCGGGCGCACUGCGCGGGGGCUGCGAACAAAGGGCCCCCGGCGGCGGCGCGAGGACGGCCGCGCUCGGACCCUGGCCCUGGCCCAGCCCUGGCCCGGCCCCCUCCCCAGGCGCGGCGCCCCCCAGGAGCCGAAAAAUGAGCGGCGCCCUGCUCUGGCCGUUGCUCCCGCUCCUGCUCCUGCUGCUGUCGGCGCGGGACGGCGUGCGCGCCGCGCAGCCUCAGGCCCCGUGAGUAUCCUCCGGCGACAGAGGAGGUCGGUCGCCUUCUGGGGUGGGGGUCGCGGGUACUGGCUCAGAGUGUUGCAGCGACCUGCCCAAGGCCACACAGCCUCCGCGCUGGGCUGGACCUGGCCUCUUGUUCCCGAAUCGUCUUGAGGAGGGGGCGCCCUAAAGUUUCCGAAGUGGCUCUGUGGAGGUACAGGGACUCCCAAAAGCUAAAGGUGCUGAGGUCAGCUCCCCCCGCCCCACCUCGCCCCCUUCGUGUGACCCGGGCUGUCAUCAUGGGUGGCGAUUUCCAGUUGUCCAAGGUAUGAAGGUAAGAGGAGCGUCUUGGCUGAGAAGUGGGAGGAGAGUGCGAAGGGGCACUUUCCCGUGGGUGGGCGUGGUGAGGGAGGAGGAAGUGUUUGUUUUGCUUCUACAUUUUUCUAGAGGUUUGCUUGCAGGCUUCUGGUGGGUUGACAGCGGGGAGAAGGUGAAUUAACUAACUGCUGGGGAGUACUGCUAAGUUGGCUUCACAGAGAAUAUUUCUAAACCUGGCAAGUUCGGGUGAGCUCUGCAGGGCUGCGGGUUCAGGGGGGCUGCCCUGGUCUGCACAAGACCAGCCUUUUAGUCCAGCUGGGCGUUUAGAAGGCGGCUUGUUCAAGCAGCCCUUGUUUAGGAGUUUCCAGAAAACUGGUAAGCAGUGAGACUAGGUGGGUGUCGUUAUUUGCAGUGAGUAGUUGGUCCUUGCUGGUCACAGUUUUAAAAGCAAGACAGUCUACUGCGCUCUGAGCAUCCAGACUUCCCUCUCCUAGGCUUCGUGAAAUCGGAACCCUACAAAUUUUCAUCCUAAUGCUUCUUUCAAAGCUGGCAUCCCUUAGAAUAGUGGUUCUCAGCCCUGGGGGGGAUUUUUGUCUCCCUGAGGCCGCUGGGAAAUGUCUGGAGGUAUUUUUGGUUGUCACAAAUAGGGAGAGGCAUUUGGUGUUGGCAUUAAGUGGGUGCAGGCCAGGAAUGCUGGUAAACAGCUUUCGAUGUGCAGGUCAGCUUCCACUGCAAGGAAUGACGCGGCCCCACAUGACAGACCUUGGCUCCAAUGAGAGACCCUGCCUUAUACAGAGGUUUUUGUUUGUUGUUUGUUGUUUUUGGGGUUUGUUUUUGUUUUUGUUUUGAGAUGGAGUUUUACUCUUGUUGCCCAGGCUGGAGUGCAAUGGCACGAUCUUGGCUUACUGCAACCUCCGCCUCCCAGGUUCAAAUGACUCUCCUGCCUCAGCCUCCUGAGUAGCUGGGAUUACAGGCGUGUGCCACCACACCCGGCUAAUUUUUUGUAUUUUUAAUAGAGAUGGGGUUUCUCCAUGUUAGCCAGGCUGUUCUGGAACUCCUGACCUCAGGUGAUCCACCCACCUCCGCCUCCCAAAGUGCUGGGAUUAGAGGCGUGAGUCACCGUGCCUGGCCCGUUAGAGAGUUUUAAACAGUUCUCCAGGGCGUUUUCCUCUGACUAAAGUCACCCUGUGAUCUUACCAUCUGUUAAGUGACAUGGAAUCCCUGUGCUGAGAGACACACUGGGGAAGAGAUGUCCCCAAAUGACCGACCUGGGAUUCCAGAUUAGCUGGCCUCUAAGCCAGGGGCAUGGUUCACCCAGCCCAAAGGAUCUCGUCUUAGGAAUAGCUCUGGAUGCCCACUUCUGUCACCUGAGAGAUUUUUGUGUGAGGAAUCUCUGAUCCCAGAAAGCAGCACAGUUUGCAGUUGUAAGAGCAAUUCUGUCUACACUGACCCAGACAUCCCUUUCCCCAAUCUGGGACCUUCUGAGACCAGCAGGAUGAGAAGCAGUGUUGGCCCAGAUGCUAGGGGUGGGUCAGGUGUGACAGUGAAUGGCUGGCAAGCAUCCCAACAGCUGGAAACAGCUGCAACUUCUGAAUGGCAGGGAAACUUAAUUUGGUGAUGUCAGUUUCUCUGGGCAGUUGGAUGAAGACUUGAACCCGUAUUGUCAGGAGUUUCAAAGGUGACCAAGCAAAAUGAACACGUAUUCCUUACUCUCUCUUCUACACUCACCAUGUACUAUAUGUGAGGCCCGUCUAAACUCUAGGGAUCAGCUGGGAGCCAGACAGAAAGAGUAUUCCCCUUUUAAAGGAUGCCACAUUCCAGUGCUGGAGCUGGACAGGACACCUGGACAGGGUAAUUGCAUGUCCUGGUCAGUGCUGGAGUUAUGUAAUACACAGCACAUACCCAGGGUCUUGCAAACUCCAGUUGGUCCUAGAGUUGGACAGCACAUGUGUGAUCCCAGGGGACUGAACUCUGGUAAUUAUUCAAGGCAGAUGUAGCACACUAUGAUCACAGGGUCAGUGCACACUGUGGCCAGGGCUGCAGUAAACAACCCAAACCCAUUGUUCGUGUGCAUGAAACAACACAAACCCACUGCGUCUUUUGAGAUGCAAAAUUGGUAAUGAUGUUUUCAUGAAGUUUGGUUUAUCAGUGAGUUAUUUUAUGGAUCUUAUUUUUGGUAUCUUACUCAAGAAAUCUUUGCCUAAUCUAAGCAUGCAAUGACUUUCUCCUUUGUUUUCUUCUAGUGUUUCUACAAGUUUUACUUCUUCAAUUUAGAUCUGUUACUAAGAUUAACUUUGAGUUAAUCUAAUUGCAUGGUGUGAGGUAAUGUUCUCAAUUCAUCUUUUUGCAUGUGGAUGUUGGGUUGUUCUAGAGACACUAUUGAGGCCAGGUGCAGUGGGCCUGUAAUCCCAGCACUUUGGGAGGCCAAGGUGCGCAGAUCACUUGAGGUCAGGAGGUCAAGACCAGCCUGGCCAACAUGGUGGAACCCAGUCUCUACCAAAAAUACAAAAAUUAGCUGGGUGUGGUGGUGCACGCCUGUAGUCCCAGCUACUCUGGAGGCUGAGGCAGAAGAAUCCCUUGAACCUGGGAGGUGGAGGGUACAGUGAGCUGAGAUCACACCACUGCACUCCAGCCUGGGCAACAGAGCAAGACUCAGUCUCAAUUAAAAAUAAAUAAAUAAAUAAAUAAAAAUAAAAAAAGAAAAUAUUGAAAUGAAAAUGUCUCCUAAUCUCAUUGCAUGGUCCAGUUUCCCCCUUUACCCUCUUUUCUUCUGAUUUCCAUCAUUCUACAUGGUUGCAAUUGUGGUGCCUUUGCUAUAAUGCUCUUGGUGAUUGUGGGGACACUGUAAGCAUUUCAUGAGGUUACAGGGCCUUUGUAAUUUUCCAUGGAAGGCUGCAGAUACUGGGAGACAGGAGCUCAGGUGGGGAGGACCUGGGCCCUCAGGUCAGGUCCCCUAAGGGCACCUCAGUGCCCUCUUCUGCCUGGCUGUGUGAUCUGGUGCAUGUUCCUAUUCUUCUGAAGCAUCAACUUCCCAUGGGGAAACUGGGGGUAAUGCCUCCCUUCCAGAGGUGACUUCAUAGUCAAUCAGAAGAUUUUAGGAAAGAGAGGCCUGCUUUGAUUCCAUUGUUUUCAGAGCUCUUUUUGUUUGAGGCCCUAUGGUUUGUUUUCAGGGUUUGUUCUUAAAAUGAAUGUUGCAAAGAAGCCCUUUGCUUCUUUUUAUCAGGUUUUGGAGUCUGACCGCCUGAGUUAGAAUCCUGGUCUGUCACUGUUGCGGCUGGUGACUUGACUUCUCUGGGGUUUCCUUUCUGACUUUCUAAAUGGGGCUGAUGUCAGCACUUCUCACGGUGGUGGGGGACGGGGUGCACCGUGAGGAUGAAGUGGGAUCCUGCCGGUUACCUGGCUUGUGGAGGAGAGUAUUUCAGACAGUGGGCAUGACAUGUGCAAAGGUCCUGGGCCAGAAGGGCCAGGCGUGGUGGAUCACACCUCUAAUCCCAGAACUUUGGGAGGCUGAGGAGGGUGGAUCAUUUGAGGUCAGGAGUUUGAGAUCAUCCUGGCCAACAUGGCAAAACCCUGCCUCUACUAAAAAGACAAAAAUUAGCCGGCCGUGGUGGCAGGCACCUAUAAUCCCAGCUACUUGGGAGGCUAAGGCACGAGAAUCCCUUGAACCCGGGAGGUGGAGGUUGUAGUGAGCCGAGAUCAUGCCACUGCACUCCAGCCUGGGGGACAGAGCAACACUCUGUCUCCAGGAAAAGAAAAAAAAAAAAAGGUCCUGGGGCAGAAGGAAGUAGCUGAGUCAACAGGCUGGAGGCCGGAAUAGAGAGAGUAAGAGGGGUUGUGCAAUGCUGAAAAAUCCAGUGAGGCCAGAUUCUUACCCAGCAUGGGGACUUCACAGGUGAAAGAGCCAAUCCAUGGACUCAAGAACUGAUGGGGGGGCACAGACUCCUAGAGCAUCAAUGCCAGCCAGGUGUGGUCAGCAAAAGGCAGGAGUCUGCUGCGAGGAGAGCCCUGACCUAGCUGUGGUGGCAGCGAGACCAGGGGUCUGGGGUGAGAACUUCACCUCGGAUCUCCUUUCCUGCAGGGGUUACUUGAUUGCAGCUCCCUCUGUUUUUCGCGCGGGCGUGGAGGAAGUCAUCAGCGUGACCAUCUUUAACUCUCCAAGGGAAGUCACGGUCCAGGCUCAGCUGGUGGCCCAGGGUGAGCCGGUGGUGCAGAGCCAGGGAGCCAUCCUGGGUAGGUCCCUUGGGUGCCAGACCAGGACUUCCCCUUCUUUUGCAAAGUGGAGCCACUUGCUGGCCUUCAGGGCUGGGGCAGUGUGGGUGUUGCUUUGCUUCCCUUCUGCCCUAAAUCCCCAGGGGCAUGGGAGGGAGGGAGGGAAGACAGGUUGCAUUCUCCUCAUUCUACAGAUGGAGAGAGAGUAAAGCCCAGGAUGGGCAGCUCAGCUCAUGGGUCCUCAGCAGCCCUGGUUCUGUGGGUGCAGAUCUGGGCAGAGCACGGGCACCCACCUGUGUCAGCUUUGACCAGAGGUGGGACAGGGGACCUGAAGGAGAUCACAUGACCCCCCUCUGACCUUUUGUUGGGUUUCCAGCACACCUGAACCAUUAGACUCAGACCUGGGCUCACAGGCCUGUUACUAAGUGCAGCUCAGGCCCUCAGCCAGUCUCUCCCCUUCACUCCUUGGUCAAAUGCAGACAGCAACAGCCUCAGCCUCCUGGUCAAGAUAGUGAAUGCAGAUCCCUGGCUCAGAAAGCUGUAAUCUCCCAGGGGAGGUAGACUCAUUCCUCAUGCCGAGAAUGAUGUAGCCACAGGAGACACAGAGAAGGCCAGGGGCUCCAAGGCCAGUGAAGCAGCACUUGUCUCUUAGGGAGGUGUGGCCAGAGAAGGUGGAAAUGUGGAAGCUUCUAGAACCUUCUAGAAGCCCUUCUAGUCCUAGAAGAACCAGGCACUCCUGACUUGGGUGGCUAGCCAACUGAAACCCAACCCAGUUGGCUUCUGCAACAGUUUGUGGUCUCUCAUACCUAGAAAGAAAGUCCACUGGUAUUGCUGGCCAGCUUCUCCCCCUACCUCUUGAUGCAACCAGGUCUCUCCUUAAGAUCAGGGGAAGCACCAGUCUCCCAAGAUGGCUGGAUAAAGUCCCAGGAUUCCCUCUGAUUGGCCUAUCUUGGUUCAUGUGCUCAACCCUGAGCCAAUCACUAUGACCAGAGGGGAAGGCCUAUGCUGAUUGGUUCAUUUUGGGUCAUGUGCUCAGCCCUGAACCAAUCACUGUGACCAGGGGGAAGGCCUAUGCAGAUUGGCUCAGAGUCCCAGGAAGGUGGAUGGAGAGCUUGGGAGCCACGUGCGUUGUGUGCUGGGCAGAUAGCUUGUCCAAGGAAAUUGAGGAUCUGUUAGCAGGAAAUGGGAUAAUGGUUGCUGGGAGGCAAAAAUAAUAGAUACCUAAUUGAGUCCUGGAGGCCAGAAACCUAGUACAGUAGCACAAAUGAUUUAGUGUGGGUAGCAGAGAGAGGUGAUGGGAGAACAGUCAGGUCCACUGGGGACCUCAGUCCCCUCUUCUUUCUCUCCACCCUUCUCCUUGUUCCUCUCCCCUGGUGUUUUCCCAUUACUCCCCUCACAGCUUAGUUUGGACAGGAGCCAGGGGUGAAGUAAAUCAAGUACUUAGGCAGGCCAGCUUUGCCCUGAAUAGCUCAGCUUUGUCCAUUCCCUCUGGCCUUCAGCUUGUGCCAGCUUGGAGGAAACCUCUGGCUUCUGCCAGUCCUAGCCUGGCCCAGUCCAGGCCAGCAUGACCCAGGGUGUGUUUGUCCACAUGAAACCCCUUUGGGUUAAGAAAGUUUGUGGUUUGUGAGGCUGCAGCUCAGGGAGGCAGGGCAACACAGCUCUUGAUUUAACUUUUUUCAUUUUAUUUUCAUUUUUAGAUAAAGGGACAAUCAAACUCAAGGUAAGCCGUUGAUUUUUAAAAUCAUAAACCUGACCUUGGAAAUAAAGAAUUGAAUUGGGCCAGGCGUGGUGGCUCACACAUGUAAUCCCAGCACUUUGGAAGGCCGAGGUGGGUGGAUCACCUGAGGUCAGGAGUUCGAGAUCAGCCUGGGCAACAUGGUGAAACCGCAUCUCUACUAAAAAUACAAAAUUAGCCAGGCGUGGUGGCACAUGCCUGUAAUCCCAGCUACUCGGGAGGCUGAGGCAGGAGAAUCGCUUGAACCUGGGAGGCGGAGGAUGCUGUGAGCCGAGAUUGCACCAUUGCACUCCAGCCUGGGCAACAAGAGUAAAUCUCCGUCUCACCAAAAAAAAAAAAAAAAAGAAAAGAAAAAAAAAAAAGAAUUGAAUUGGGAUGGAAUAAGAGAAAUUGCAUGUGUUGUGAGAAAAAUCAUUUUUAAAAAAGAGAUGUAAAAAAUGAAUAAUGAGGCUGGGUGCCAUGCUCACAUCUGUAAUCCCAGCACUUUGCGAGGCUGAGGUGGGUUGAUCUCUGGAGCCCAGGAAUUCAAGGCCAGCCUGGAAAACAUGGUAAAAUCCUGUCUCUACAAAAAAAAAAAAUACAAAAAUUAUCCAUUAGCUAGGCAUGGUGGUUCACGCCUGUUCUCACAACCACUUGGGAGGCUGAGGUAGGAGGAUCGCUUGAGACUGGGAGGUUGAGGCUGCAGUGAACUAUGAUCGCACCACUGCACUCCAGCCUGGGCAACAGAGUGAGGCCCUAUUUAAAAAAAAAUGAGAGAAUAAUGAAAUUUAGAAAAGGAGAAAUCCACCGAUAAUCCAGUUUUCAUACUUUUCACUUUUUCAUGUUUUCCACACAUUCUUGUUCAUGCACAUACAUUUUCUUUUCAUAGUUUCAGUUAAAGGACACACACCACUGGCCGGGCGCAGUGGCUCAUGCCUGUAAUCCUAGCACUCUGGGAGGCCGAGGAGGGUGGAUCACCUGAGGUCAGGAAUUUGAGACCAGCCUGGUCAACAUGGCAAAACCCCAUCUCUACUAAAAAUACAAAAGUUAACUGGGCAUGGUGGCGCACACCUGUAAUCCCAGCUACUCGGGGGCUGAGGCAGGAGAAUUGCCUCAACCCAUGGGACGGAGGUUGCAGUGAGCCAAGAUCUCACCACUUCACUCCAGCCUGGGCAACAGAGUGAAACUCCGUCUCAAAAAACAAAACAAAACAAAACAUAACAAAAGAAAACAAAACACCGUGGUGUUUCCUAGUCCCUCUUAUCACACUGUUGUAAACAACUUCCAUGUUUCCAAGUCUCUGUAAUUGGAAUUUCCAUUUCAUUGUAAGCAGCAUCCUAUUGCACCCCUCUUAAAUAUCAGUUUGCUAAGCCCCCAGCUAGAUUUUUUCUAGAUUGUUUCAGUGGUUUUUUUUUUCUUUUUUUUUUUUGAGAUGAAGUCUCACUCUGUCUCCCAGGCUGGAGUGCAAUGGUACAAUCUCAGCUCACUGCAACCUCUGACCCUGGUUUCAAGCGAUUCUCGUGCCCCAGCCUCCCAAGUAGCUGGGACCUCAGGCAUGCACCAUCAAGACUGGCUAAUUUUGUGUGUGUGUGUGUGUGUGUGUGUGUGUGUGUGUGUGUAUUUUUAGUAGAGAUGGGGUUUUACCAUGUUGGCCAGACUGGUCUGAAACUCCUGACCUCAAGUGAUCCACCCACCUUGGCCUCCCAAAGUGCUGAGAUUACAGGCAUGAGCCACCCUGCCUGGGCUGUUUUCAGUGUUUUGAUACUGUAAUCCUUAAGUCGCCAGAAUGUUUGUAUGUAAAGCCAUAUUAGCAUUCUGGAUGCCUUCUUUAGGCUAAACAGCCAAAUUGAAGAAUUACCAGCAGGACCCAAGCCUCUCACUGGGUCUUGCUGUGUCCUGGAAUACACAGCAGUACCUGUUCAUGGAACCACCUGCAGUACAUUAGGGAUCAGAUUUCUCCACUGCCUCUCAGACAUUGAAUAUUGUUAUUUUUAAAUUAUUAUAUGUACCAAACUAUGUAAAUAAUUUUAUGACAUGGGUUUUCAAACUGGAGUCCUUGGAUUUCAGAUAUUAUGUAAGCCCUGGAAUUGCGGCAUUUGGGGGGUUAGCUAUUCCUUAACUUUUACCACAUGCUCAAAGGAGUCUACGAAUGAAUGGGCUAAAUUGAGAAUUAUUUUAAAUUAUAAGGCGCCCAUCUCCAUUGAUCAGAAUGGAGGCUGAGAUAGUUCCUUUUGUAUGAGGUAUACCACUAGUGCCUAUUUGCUGCAGGACAGUGGUCUUCCUGCCUUACUUUUUUUUUUUUUUUUUAAGCAGUCUUGCUUUUUCUCCCAGGCUGGAGUGCAGUGAUGCAAUCUUGGCUCACUGCAACCUCCGCUUCCUGGGUUCAAGUGAUUCUCCUGCCUCAGCCUCCCCAGUAGCUGGGAUUACAGGUGUGCACCACCGUGCCCAGCUAAUUUUUUUGUAUUUUUAAUAGAGAUGGGGUUUCAUCAUGUUGGCCAGGCUGGUCUCAAACUCCUGACCUCAGUUGAUCUGCCCACCUCAGCCCUCCCAAAGUGUUGGGAUUACAGGCGUGAGCCACAGCACCUGGCCCCUCCAUUACAUUUGAUGAUAGAACCCUUUCUCUAAGGCAGCAGUUCUCACUCAAGGGGGCUUUUGCCCUACAGGGCACAUUUCGUAAAGUUUGGAGACAUUUUUGGUUGUCACAGCUGGGUUGGGGCUGGGCGGUGCCAGGUGCUACUGGCAUCUGGUGGGUGGAGGCCACAGCUGCAACUCAACAUCUUACAAUGCGCAGGAUCCCUUACAGCAAAGAAGGAUGUGGCCCCAGAAGUCCACAUUCAGGAAACCCUGAACCAAAACCCUAGAGCAGCAGUCCCCAACCUUUUUGGCACCAGGGACCAGUUUCAUGGAAGACAGUUUUUUCCACGGACCAGGGAGCAGAAGAAAUGGUUUCAGGAUGAUUCAAGGGCAUUCCAUUUAUUGUGUGCUUUAUUUCUAUUAUUAUUACACUGUAAUAUAUAACGAAAUAAUGAUAUAACUCACCAUAACUGAAGAAACAGUGCAAGCCCUGAGCUUGUUUUCCUUCAACUAGAUGGUCCCACCUGGGGGUGAUGUGAGACAGUAACAGAUCAUCAGGCAUUAGAUUGUCAUAAAGAGCAUGCAAUCUAGACCCCUCCCAUGCACAGUUCACAAUAGGGUUCACACUCCUAUGAGAAUCUAAUGCCACCACUGAUCUGAUGGGAGGCGGAGCUUAGGCAGUAAUGUGAGUGAUGGGGAGCGGCUGUAAAUACAGAUGAAGGUUCAUUUGCUCACCCACUGCUCACCUCCUGCUGUGUAGCCCCAUUCCUAACAGGCCAUUGACUGGUACCAGUCUGUGGCCCAGGGGUUGAGGGUCCCUGCCCUAGGGCUUCAAUGCCUACAGAAGCAUAAGGAAAAAAGAAAAAAAAAAAAAGACCCUAGAACUCCCUUUCCUGGCUUCCUGUGAUUGGAUUUCUUUUCCUCCCUCCUCCCUUCCUUCCUCUCUCUCUCUCCUGCCUUUCCUUUGUGUGAUUAGAUUUUUCUCUCUCUUUCUCUCUUUUUGGAGACAGAGUCUUGCUCUGUCGCCCAGGGUGGAGUGCAGUGGCACGAUCUCAGCUCACUGCAACCUCUGCCUCCUGGGUUCAAGUGAUUUUCCUGCCUCAGCCUCCUGAGUAGCUGGGACUGCAGACGCCCCCACCAUGCCCAGCUAAUUUUUGUAUUUUCAAUAGAGGUGGGGUUUCACCAUGUUGGCUACUGUGGUCUCAAACUCCUGACCUCAAGUGAUCCACCUGCCUCAGCCUCCCAAAGUGCUGGCAUUACAGGUGUGAGCCACUGCACCCAGCCUAGAUCUGCUUUCUUAUGAGUCAGGAAGCCAUUUCCCUGGAGCAGGUGUUAAGAUGAUGUGCAGUCCCUGGCCACCACACGUUAGAAGACACUCUUCACAGCACAGAUGCUGGGAAUUUGUAAGAGAGACUAACAAAGGGUUGUAUAAUUCUGGGAGAGGGGCCAAGGGCUCUUAAGACUAGACUUGAGAUUCCCAAGAAAGAUGCUUAAGAUCCUUAGCAUUUGGCCAGGCACAGUGACUGGUGCCUGUAAUCCUAGCUACUUGGGAGGCUGAAACUGGAGGAUCGCUUGAGGCCAGGAGUUGGAGACCAGCCUGGGCAACAUAGUUGAGAGCCUGUCCCCUGUCUCUACAAACUGAAAAUAAAAAAUUAGCCGGGCAUGGUGGCCUGCACCUGUAGUCCCAGCCACUCAGUAGGCCAAGGUAGGAGGAUUGCUUGAGUCCAGGAGAUCGAGGUUGCAGUGAGACGUGAUCGCACCACAGCACUCUAGUCUGGGCAACAGAGCAAGAGCCUGUCUUUAAACACGGAAAGAAGGCUGGAGGUCCUUCUUGCCUUCUCUCCCUGUGGGAGGCAUCCUCUUCCCUGGGAAGGUGUGAAGCUCUAGGGGCUGCCGUUUGGGGUCGGCCCCCUUUAUGUGCUCAGCAUAGUCUCUUGCCCGCCAGCCUCCCUGUCCCUCCAGCAUACGGUCCUCAGCACCUCCGGUAUCUCCCUCCUGCCCAUCCUUGCCCUGCUCUUGGGUGGCCGGGACCUUUCCUCCCUCUUCAGCCUCUGGCCAGUGUUGAGAUAUUUCCAGAAACAGGGCCAGGUGAGGAUUUUGGGAUUGGAGUAGUGGGUGAGGUUUAUUGCUUUGGUUGGUCUUGACGGGGAAACUGCAGUCAGAAGAGACCUCACAGGUCCAGAAGGCUGGUCCUGCGGGUGGCAGGUAGGAGAGGUCCCUCUGAGGCUGUUCAGAGCAGACAGGAGGUGGGUGGCUGGAGAGAGGGCUGGGACGGACCCCGUGUGGCUUCAGAGAGCGGGGGUCCUAGUGCACCCCGACCUCACCCACACAAUGGUCAUGACAGUGCAGAACUGUGAUGAUCAGUCAGAUAAUCUGGUAGAUUGUUCCCCGUGAUGGUCACCAGGGUCCAUCCACCCCUUGAGGGACCACAUGAGUAGAUGCUGACAUAGGGGUCCUCAGAAGAGGAACACCCCACAGUUGGAUAGUUUUAUUUUUACAUUUUUUUUAUUUUUUAUUUUUUGAGAUGGAGUCUCACUCUGUCACCUAGGCUGGAGUGCAGCUGUACCAUCUCAGCUCACUGCAACCUCUGCCUUCUGGGUUCAAGCGAUUCUGCUGCCUCAGCCUCCUGAGUCGCUGGGACUAUAGGCGCCUGCCAUCACACCUGGCUAAUUUUUGUAUUUUCAGUAGAGACGGGGCUUCGCCAUGUUGGCCAGGCUGGUCCCGAACUCCUGACCUCAGGUGAUCUGCCCACCUCAGCCUCCCAAAGUGCUGGGAUGACAGGCGUGAGCCACUGUGCCCAGCCAUUUGGGUGGUUUUAGGAACAGGUGGGUGCACAUAGCUCCCCAGGUGAUCUGCUUGGAGGUAAUGUCCACCUGCUGGGUGCCCAGGGAUGGCUGAGAGGGUAACUAUCAUCAAAUACCGGUCACAUAGAGGGAGGUAAUAUGGUUUGGUUGUGUCCCCACCUAAAUCUCAUCUUGAAUUGUAGCUCCCAUAAUUUCCACACGUUGUGGGAGGGACCCAGAGGGAGAUAAUUGAAUCAUGGGGUGGUUUCCCCCAUACUGUUCUCAUGGUAAUGAAUAAGUCUCACAAGAGCUGAUGAUUUUAUAAGGGGAAACCCCUUUUUGCUUGGCUCUCAUUCUCUCUUGCCUGCCACCAUGUAAGACGUGCCUUUCACCUUUCGCCAUGAUUGUGAGACCUCCCCAGCCACGUGAAACUGUGAGUCCAUUAAACCUCUUUUUCUUUAUAAAUUACCCAGUCUCGGGUAUGUCUUUAUCACCAGUGUGAAAACAGACUAAUACAGGAGGCAUUACUUUUGUUUGUUUUAAGCAUGAAAGGAGCUUUUAUAGUGCAUGACUCACAUGCCAGGGCGUUCUGCCCAUCUGCUUAAAAAAAAAUAAGAGGACGGCCAGGUGCCAUGGCUCACACCUGUAAUCCCAGCACUUUGGGAGGCUGAGUCGGGAGGAUCACAUGAGCCCAGGAGUUUGAGCCCAGCCUGGGCAACAUAGUGAGACCCCAUCUCUACCAAAAAAUAAAAUAAAAUAAAUUAGCUGGGCAUGGUGGUGCAUGCCUGCAGUCCUGGCUUCUCAGUAGGCUGAGGCAGGAGGAUCGCAUGAGCCCAGGAGUUUGAGGCUGUAGUGAGCUCUGAUCGCACCAUUGGACUCCAGUCUGGCGACAGAGCAAGAUAUUGUCUCUAAAAACAAAAGAAAGAAAGAGAAAGAGAAAGAAAGAAAGAAGGGAGGGAUGGAGGGAGGGAGGGAGGGAAGGAAUGUGUAGUGUAGGAAGGAUGGAAGGAAGGAAGAAAGAAAGGAAGGGAGGGAGAGAGGGAGGGAGAGAGGGAGGGAGGGAAUGUGUAGUGAAGGAAGGAAGGAAGGAAGGAAUUGUGUAGUGUAGGCUCCAUCCUGAAGACUGAAGUGGUUUUUUUUUUUCUCCCAUCUGUGUGGCAAAAACACAAACCAAACCAACAAAAAAGCCAUCUAACCAUUCUAAAACAUAUAAUUCCGUGGCAUUUACUACAUUGACAGGGUUGUGCAAUGCCCCCCCAUCUAGUUCCAGAACAUUUUUAUCCCCGCAAAAGAAGACCCUGUCCCCAUCAGUAGUCACUCCCCACUCCCUUCUCCCAGCCCCUAGCAACCACCCAUCUGAUUCCUGUCUCUGUGGAUUGCCUUUUCUGGACA